GUCUCUCGUGAAGCCUAUGUUGGUAGGGACAUCCAAGGUUGUUGAUGAAUGCUAACAGCUCUAACAGAAAAAC